rnacentral:rRNA from 1 species
GUGGCGAACGGGUGAGUAACACGUGAGUAACCUGCCCCUGACUCUGGGAUAAGCGUUGGAAACGACGUCUAAUACUGGAUAUGACUACUGGUCGCAUGGCCUGGUGGUGGAAAGAUUUUUUGGUUGGGGAUGGACUCGCGGCCUAUCAGCUUGUUGGUGAGGUAAUGGCUCACCAAGGCGACGACGGGUAGCCGGCCUGAGAGGGUGACCGGCCACACUGGGACUGAGACACGGCCCAGACUCCUACGGGAGGCAGCAGUGGGGAAUAUUGCACAAUGGGCGAAAGCCUGAUGCAGCAACGCCGCGUGAGGGAUGACGGCCUUCGGGUUGUAAACCUCUUUUAGUAGGGAAGAAGCGAAAGUGACGGUACCUGCAGAAAAAGCACCGGCUAACUACGUGCCAGCAGCCGCGGUAAUACGUAGGGUGCAAGCGUUGUCCGGAAUUAUUGGGCGUAAAGAGCUCGUAGGCGGUUUGUCGCGUCUGCUGUGAAAUCCCGAGGCUCAACCUCGGGCUUGCAGUGGGUACGGGCAGACUAGAGUGCGGUAGGGGAGAUUGGAAUUCCUGGUGUAGCGGUGGAAUGCGCAGAUAUCAGGAGGAACACCGAUGGCGAAGGCAGAUCU